UUUAAAGUCUAAUCUGCCCUAUGAGGGGUUAAAUGGCCGCGGUAUUUUGACCGUGCAAAGGUAGCAUAAUAAUUAGUUUUUUAAUUGAAAGCUGGAAUGAACGAUUGGACGAGAAAAUUACUGUCUCAAUUUAAUUUAAUUAGAAUUUUAUUUUUAAGUAAGAAAGCUUAAAUUUUAUUAAAAGACGAGAAGACCCUAUAGAGUUUUAUAAUAUUUUAUUUAAAGAUUUUUAAGAAUAUUUUUAUUUUUAUUUUAAUUAUUAUUUUAUUGGGGCGAUAGAAAAAUAUAAUUAACUUUUUUUAUUUUAAAUUCAUUAAUAUAUGUUUAAUUGAUCCAUUAUUUAUGAUUAUAAGAUUAAAUUACCUUAGGGAUAACAGCGUAAUUUUUUUUUAGAGUUCUUAUCGAAAAAAUAGAUUGCGACCUCGAUGUUGGAUUAAAAUAAAUUAUUGGUGUAGAAGCUAUAUAAUUAGGUCUGUUCGACCUUUAAAAUUUUACA
rnacentral:rRNA from 1 species